GCCCUGUGAUGAGACCAAGGCGAAUACGAGCUUACUGAAUGAGAGUUGGGUUUCUCUUGCCUUGACUGGCAGGUAAUCUUGGCAGUGCAGAGGAGGAUUCCUGCUCUGCUGUAAGGGCCUGCCUACAGUGACUUGGCUCGACCCAAAUUAUUCCUCUGCAGUCACAGUGGAGUAAUUUCUGGGUUGUCGCUGACAGCGUGUCUUAUGGUUGUGCGUGUGCCUGCCCCCCCCCUUGCUCUCCCCGCUCCCCCGUGUCUGCCUCACGUGCUCCUGCCAGCCCUGCUCAGUUAAAAAAGGCAAGAAGUUCACCCAGCUUUCUUUACUGUUCAGUGAGCCAUGAGUUUUGUCUUUGGUAAUCUGAGGGCA